AGGCUUUGCUGUUUCACUCCACGAUGAGAGGGGUUGUGUAGAGGGAAUGCCGGAUUCCAAACGUGGAUGCAGGCGCCUGGGGCUUGAUCAGCGUCACCUGGAAGGGCGAAAAGGAAAGGCAGUCUGCGUUAAGCAAAGUUGCAGCAGGCUUGGAAGCCCCUGUGGCACAGGGGGAGCAGCCCAGGUUCGGAUGCUAACGCGGAAAAGAGGAGCGGCAGAGCUCACCUUGGCAAGGUCUUCGUCAAACCGACCUCGCUGGCUCCUUCCCCUCACAGAGUAGCAGGGGCUGGCCGAUGUGUAGACUGUGUUGGGCCCCAUCAGCCUGGGCAGCGUGUAGGUGCCAGGACCUGCAGGAGGAGCAGCAGAGAGCGUGUGCGCGAGGGGCUGGAGGAGACGGAAGCAGCAGGGAGGGGCAGCCUGCCCAGCCUGCUGGUGGGAGCAGGAGGGAGGUCUCGCCCCUCUGCCAGUUCCUCCCUAUACUCUGGCACUGGGCCAGCGCCAGCAGCUCCGAGCCUGAGCAGCCGCAGCCGCUGCGGGCCCAGAGGUGUUGGUCGUGCAAGAAAGCUUGCGGCCCCAGCGCCGCGUCCUGCCGCGCAGGCUGUGCAGUAGGCCCGCUGCUGGUGCUGAGCAGCAGCCCGUCCCUGCGGGAUGCUCAGGCUGAAGGGUCUGCCUUUGCCAGGGUCAGCGUACCUGGAGGGUGGUCUGUCCGGAGGGGCUCCCGCCGGAAGGCCAUGGACUGCACCGGUGGGCACUUGAAGACGUGCCUGUUGGCUGCCUCGGUGCGGUAGUCACCUGGGGCGGAAGAGAAGAGGAAGAAAGCCGUGAAGCGCCGGUCUUCUUCUUCUGCAACCGCACAGGCACUGUCCCGAGGAAAGGGUCUUCUCAAGAGCUGCAGAAUUGCCGCUGGGGGACACAGGCAGCACGCGGGGACGCUCUUCUGUGCCCCGCCGCUAUGCCCUGCCUUGCUGUCCCUCCCGUCAGCCCCCUGCCGCUUGUUCUUUUUGGACACGGGGUCCUUGUGCCCUCGGCCCGUGGCCCUGGGCAGCUGUCCUUCUCCGAGGGCGUUUAUCGCUGCUCAGAGCGGUUUGCGUUCUCUCAAAAAAGACCUACAGCUCCAUCAGGGCGCGAGCUGGCCCCGGGCAAACGCGCCGCCCGCUCGUCUUGUCUGGGUGAAGUGCUGCACAAGUGGUACUCACUUGGUCCGGGAGUGACGGUGGUCUUCGUCGCGGGUCGUCCCCGGAGCUGGGCGCCCGGAGCCACGUACUUCCCGUUCCUGGUGAUGGCGGGCUCCACAAAGUAGCAGGGACCUGGCCCGCAGCUCCCUGCCGCAGGCGGUUUGGUCCCUCUAAACGUGUAGGCGGGGGCACGGGCUUUGGUGGGGCUGUGGCCCACAUAACCUAGGAGGAAAAGCAGAAGAGAGCACACCCCUGUGCAGCUGCACGUCUCAAGCUCCGUUGGAACAGGCGCAGUUAGGCGCCGGGCCCUGGCCCCGACAUUCCCUUCCCGCGUGACUUCUUCCUCCAAGAGCCCUGGAGGCGAGCUGUGCCGGGCCUCGGAGCGCACAAGAGUCAGUCCCUGAGUGCAAACGGCUGCGCGAGUGCCUUGCAAAGUCACCGCAAAAAGACAGCGGAGUUUUGGCCAGCACGCUGCCUGUACCCGCACCACGCGUGCAGGCACUCCACAGCGAGAGCCCCCUAAGGGUCAAUUGUUCUGCAAGACCCCGUAACGCCUCUCUACAGCUGCAAAGCUGAGUCUGCGCUGGCCAGAAGCGGGCCCCUUUUUCCCCGGGCCACAAGGAGCAGCGCCAGCGGCACCGGCCUUCCUCGGCCAGGCCUGGCUCGCGGCUGCGCCAGGGAGCCAGGAGGCUCUGACAGAACGGGGAAAGGCUCGGGAGCUGCUCUGCCCCGCCAUGUCCCCGGUGCGCCUCACGCCCUGGGGAUGGUGGCUGUACCUGUUGUCCCCGGGAUGGAGUACUGGGGCCCGGGGCUGGGGAACUGGGCCGAGAUGAGGCCGCGUGGGCGAUGAGGUCUCCAGGUCCCCACCCAGGCUCCGUCCAUGCUGGCAGGCAUGUGCCUCCAAACCUAAAGGCAAGAACAGAGGAGUUACUGACGGGCUGCCCCAACAGAGGCCGCAGGUGAGCUUUGCUUCCCGCCCCCCGCGUCUCCUCUGCUCAGCCGCAAGCUGUCCGCCACGUGGCUUGCAGCUCCUGAGCCGGAAGGGCCGGCAGCAGUUUCUCCCGCUCACUGCCAGUCCUGCCAGUCUCGUGCUGCAUGCCCCUCGCGCACACCGGAGCUCAGCCCGCACCCUGCAGCUGGGCUCUGCAGCCUGACGUGUGCAGGAGCUCUCCCUCACCUCUCUGAGCCUUGGAGGACGAGCGCGAUGAGGCUGAGCUAGUCUGCUGCUGGGGCUGCUCUCAGGCACAGGGCACGGCGAGCGGCUGCGGGCAGCACAGCUCACAAAUGAGGCGCCUGGAGCCAGCGGCCAGCUGUCCUUGGGGAGGGCCCGGCGUCGUCAUGGCAAUGCAUUGUGACAGCACACGGGCUCCGGGUGAUGUCAUCUGUGCUGUGACAUCUCCUGGCUGGCCUGGAGCCACGCCCGCCACGCCUUUUCGGCCUCGCACCCCAACCAGUACAAAGCCGUAGCGCACGCUGCCGACACCUGCAGAUGGACUGAGCUCUCACUUCUAGCCACGUGCCGCCCGGGGCUCCUGAGGCUCGGUCAGCGUCACCUGCAAGGGAGAGAUUACGUUACUUCGAACCUACUGGAACAUUUCUGAGAAUGACACUCUGUUCUUUGGAGCUCUGUGUGUAUAGAUGUAUAUAAAAAUAAAUAUACGAGAGCCCUAAAAGCA